GGGAAUUUUCCGCAAUGGGCGCAAGCCUGACGGAGCAAGACCGCGUGCGGGAUGAAGGUCUGUGGACUGUAAACCGCUUUUGAUAGGGAAGAAGACAGUGACGGUACCUAUCGAAUCAGCCUCGGCUAACUCCGUGCCAGCAGCCGCGGUAAUACGGAGGAGGCAAGCGUUAUCCGGAAUUAUUGGGCGUAAAGCGUCCGUAGGUGGUGAUGCAAGUCUAUUGUCAAAGCGUGAGGCUUAACCUCAUACCGGCAGUGGAAACUGCAUUGCUAGAGUGCGAUAGGGGCAAGGGGAAUUCCCAGUGUAGCGGUGAAAUGCGUAGAUAUUGGGAAGAACAUCGGUGGCGAAAGCGCCUUGCUGGGUCUGCACUGACACUGAGGGACGAAAGCUAGGGGAGCGAAAGGGAUUAGA
rnacentral:rRNA from 1 species